rnacentral:rRNA from 1 species
AAGGUUGACCUCGGAUCAGGUAGGAAUACCCGCUGAACUUAAGCAUAUCAAUAAGCGGAGGAAAAGAAACCAACAGGGAUUGCCCUAGUAACGGCGAGUGAAGCGGCAACAGCUCAAAUUUGAAAUCUGGCCUUCGGGUCCGAGUUGUAAUUUGCAGAGGAUGCUUUGGGCGCGGUGCCUUCCGAGUUCCCUGGAACGGGACGCCUUAGAGGGUGAGAGCCCCGUACGGUUGGACACCAAGCCUCUGUAAAGCUCCUUCGACGAGUCGAGUAGUUUGGGAAUGCUGCUCUAAAUGGGAGGUAAAUUUCUUCUAAAGCUAAAUAUUGGCCAGAGACCGAUAGCGCACAAGUAGAGUGAUCGAAAGAUGAAAAGCACUUUGAAAAGAGGGUUAAAAAGCACGUGAAAUUGUUGAAAGGGAAGCGUUUGCGACCAGACCUUUUCCCAGCGGAUCAUCCGGUGUUCUCACCGGUGCACUUCGCUGGGUGGAGGCCAGCAUCGGUUUCCGYAGGGGGAUAAAAGCCUGGGGAACGUAGCUCCCUCGGGAGUGUUAUAGCCCCUCGCAUAAUACC